UUAAAGAGCACCUAUUAUGGGAUACACGUUUUUAAACAUCCUUUUGUGUGUAAGUGUGCAUUAGUACAUGCUAACGAUAUUCAAAAAGUACAUACCUCAAAGAAAACGAUGACGCGAGUUAUCGUCUCUAACGUUCGAGGACUACAAAAAACACUCGGAUUGUAGGCAACAGUUUACUUCCUGGGAUUGGUGACGUAGAUAAGACCAACAUUAUCAUAGUUCAGCCCUCUCUGCUUUGCUUGGGUACGCCCUCAAAGACGGGGGUGGGGAGCGCCGAGUCAGAAGAGAGCUAAAAUGGCGGAGGUUGUGAGCUCCUGCUUUGACUCUGUUUGCAAACUCUUGUUUCAUUGUUUAAGCGAUUAAAUCUCUCGAGUAGACGCUGUCUCUUUAGAUGCGAGGGCAAAAUAGCACUUUAUGGACUUCCACAGAGGACAUCAUGUUUAAUACGGUUCCGGAAAAAUCCAGUCAGAAGUUGUUCACGGAGUUUUCACAAUAACUGCUUCUCAUGAACCGAAGCUGGAUUUGCGCGAAGUCUCCUAUUGAAAGUUGGAUUACUGUGCACUUCUGGAUCACAGGCUAUUCGCAGCUGGACACAUCCUUCUACACUGUAUGCAAACAUGCAACAUCAUUACACACAGUACAAGGAGUCAGACUGGCAUAUGAGGAGCAAAGGAACCCAGGCAGUAGCAUCGUUUCACAAUGUUUCCAUCACCAUCAUCAGUGGAUGCCUUUGCCGUCCGUAGCCUGAGAUUUCAGAUUUGCAGC